GGAAUAGAACGAAAUCAGCUGAGUCUCAAGGUAACAGCCCAGCUGAGGCGCUCCUCCUGCCUUCUGCAAUAUGUUCUGCUCCAGAGAGCUGCCAGGAAAAGACCAGCAUUCAAACCACUGCUGAGGAAUAUGAAAGGCGAGAGCAACAAAAGAGAAGAAAGCUCACACCGACCAAGACUGUGGUGCUGCACGAGGGAAACUUCCGUUCCUGGUCUGGGGUAUGAGGCUUCAUGCCAGAUAUAUUGACAAAUCUGAUGGCCUUCUGCAACAGGGUUACAACAUUGGUGGAUAGGGGAAGAGCAACUGACAGCAUCUACCUGGACAAAUGGAAAGCAUUUUACAGUGUCCCACACGACAUCCUUGCCUCUUCAUUGGAGAGACAUGGAUUUGAUGGAUGGACCACUCGGUGGGUAAGGCACUGGCUGGAUGGUCGCACUCAAAGAGCUGCAGUCAACGGCUCAGUGUCCAAGUGGAGAUCGGUGAUGAGUGGUGUUCCUCAAGGGUCAGUAUUGGGACCGGCGCUGUUUAACAUCCUUGUCAAUGACAUAGUGGGAUCAAGUGAACUCUCAGCAAGGUAGCUGAUGACAUCAAGCUGCGUGGUGCAGUCAGCAUCCUGGAGGGAAAGGAUGAGAUCCAGAGGGACCUGGCCAGGCCUGCAAGGUGGGCUCGUGUAACCUCAUGAGGUUUAACAAGGCCAAGGGCAAGGUCUUGUGUCUGGGCUGGGGCAAUCUCAAGCACAAACACAGGCUGGGUGGAAAAUGGAUUGAGAGCAGCCCUGAGGAGAAGGACCUGGGAGUUGUGGUUGAUGGGGGAGGGGAUUCUCCCCCUAUGCUCCAGGCCCAGCACCAGGAGGAUGUGGAGCUGCUGGAGAGGGCCCAGAGGAGGCCCCGAGAAGGAGCAGAGGCUGGAGCCCCUCUGCUCUGGAGCCAUCUGAGGGAGCUGGGGGUGUUGGGCCUGGGGAGGAAAAGGCUCCGGGGAGACCUCCCAGUGGCCUGCCCAGGCCUGAGGGGCUGCAGGAGAGCUGGGGAGGGACUCGGGGUCAGGAGGUGUAGUGAUAGGUUAACAGGCAAUGUCUUUGAACUAAAAGAGGGGAGAUUUAGAUUGGAUAUAAGAAGAAAUUCUUUACUAUGAGGGUGGUGAGGCACUGGCACAGGUUGCUCAGAGAAGCUGUGGGUACCCCAUCCAUGGAAGAGUUCAAGACCAGGCUGGAUGGGGCUUUGAGCAACAUGGUCUAGUGGGAGGUUUUCCUUCCCAUGGGGGUUGGAAUGAGAUGAUCUUUAAGGUCCCUUCCAACUUAAAUCAUUCUAUGAUUCUAUGAUUUGUUUCUGUACCCAUCACAUUUCUAUUUUGGAUUUCAUGUUGCUGCAUGUUCAGAAGCAGAAGAAAGUAGAGGUCCUCUCCCCAUCCAAAAUCUGAGCUACUUAAUUCAUGAAAAUUAGAUCCUACUGUCUUGUCCUACUUGUCCGGUGCUUUCAAGCUAGGUGGCCUAAAUUCAGCUCACAGAUUAAGUGCACCAGAUCCCAAUCUGUAUUUUUUCAUUUAGUUUUAGCUUCACUUAAAGAUUUCUGAAUGGAUCACAAAGGCAGGCUGGGAGACUGCAUUGUGAGUGGAGAACUCAUUACACAUUACUUCUGUCUUUGUACACCUUUGAAGACCUGCAGAAGGGCUAAACUGUCCCUGAACAAAGAGGAAUGAGGAAAGAAAUAAAAUGAAGCCAUUUGUUAAAUCAAAAUAAAUGAAGCAGUGAAAAAUAAUGGUCCCAUCUGCACCUACCACUGGUUCAGGGUCAGUUCUGUUGAAGAAAAGUGCAAUGCCAAAAAUUGAAAAGAAGAAUGCAAUAGAACCCUGUCCAUUUUCCUCACCAUACAUAGUUCAUAAUAAUAAUAAUAAUUAAUAAUAAUAAUAAUAAUAAUAAUAAUAAUAAUAGUAUCUAACUCUCUUGCAGUGCUGUGUAUCUUCAAAACAUUGCACAAAUAGGACUUGAAUGUAAAUUAUUUUUCCAAGAUUUUCUGCUACUCGGUAUCCACUUUCCUCCUUUAUUUUAUCGUCACAUUAACAGACUGAGACAGAUUUUUUUCCUGAUGUAACACCAUUGACAACAGCAGAAUUAUGUCUAGGAUCAACCUGGCCCAAUUUAUUACUGUUUUAAUAGACGAUAAGAGUAUUAUAAUGGUGUUCCACUUAAGUUGGAACAAAGAAUUUUCACAGCAUUCAGCACACAUAAUGACAUGAUUAAACCCUGUAUCCUUUUAAACCCUGUAUCCUUUCCAGGAAAUCCAAACCACUAUAAUUAUAAAGAGAAAAAAAAGAGAAAAAAAAAAAAAAAAAAGGAAAGACGUAAACAAUGUGUAAUCAUGAUAGUUGAUGAUAUUACAAACUUUUGGUUUAGUACAUAGUACUUGUCCCCUUCCCAGGAUGAAUAAAGAAAUGUUAUAGCCAGAACAAAUUAUGACCUCCUGAAUAACACAUGCCAGAGAAUUUAAACCAUAACCUCUAUCGGAUGAGAAAAGUUUUCUUUCACAGUUGCAAACCUAAUAACUGAUGGCUAAGAUUAGUAUAUUUUGGAAAGGUAAACAAAUCCUACUUUAAAGCUUCACAGCAAUGGCAACUUUUUACCUUUUUUGCAAUCCCUUCCAACCUUUAUAAGUAAGGAGGUAUAUCUUAACCAAGGCCACCAGCAAUGAUGCAAGCUUUAGCCUCAAUGUACAUUUCUACCGCUUAAGCUGGCUUCUAAGCUGAACAGAGCAGCUACUCUCCUUGCAGAGAAGCAAGGUAAAGCAAUUGCCACAGCUCCCUGCAGCAGUCACGCAUGAGUAUCCAUAAGCAGCUGAAAGGAUCUCCAUUUGCUUUGCCUCUAGAAAGACUGAACCUGAAGGGAGGCACAAGAGGGGAGGCAGAGUUGUUAUAAUGGAGUCACAAAUUGCUCAGCAGUGCCUACAGGCGAUGCAGCCUUUCUGCAUCUCUCCCCAGCGAGCACCGUAAGUUUCCUAACAUGCACACCUACUCCCCGCUCCCAGCAGCCUCUCACCUGUGCUAAAAAACUUCUGCCAUCUCCAUCCAGUUGAACCUGUGACAUUUCUGAACAUACACAUAAUUACUAUACCUCUAAGAAAAAUGUGUUGAGUUUCACCCAUUACGCCUAUACGUGGUCCUUUGACUUCUUCACACUGAAAUCUUACUACCUAAUGACAAGCACUGGGACAUCACAUUCUGCAUCCAGCCAGCUGACCUCAGGCUAUCUGUGAUAGAAGCCCUCUUCUCCCUGCUUCUCCCAGAGGUGCUACAACUGAUGCAACCAAGCGCUCAAGAGGCUCAUAUACCAUUAGAAACAGGCAUGAGUGAGUUGGGUUGGCAGGGACCUUAUAGACCAUCUCAUUCCAACCCCCAGCCAUAGGCAGGGACACCUCCCACCAGACCAGGUUGCUCCAAGCCCCAUCCAACCUGGCCUUCAGCACUUCCAGGGAUGGGGCAUCCACAGCUUCUCUGGGCACUGGCUUAUCAUAGACGAUAAUGACAGCUUAUCAGAGUGAUUACAGUUCUCUUAUUGUUUCCUUUAAUUUCUCCAACUGUCUGUAGCAAUCUGUUGUCUUUUCUCUUAGUUUAUAUGAAAGCUUUGGGGAUAAAGGACUUUAUUUCUUCUGUGCUUUACCCAGCAAGGUCAUAGUCUGUGCCAAGUUUAGUAUUUGAAAACAUUAAUGACAUUUUUUUAAAUAUUUUUGCUCUACUGCUGUACUAUAAUAGCAGAAAGUAAACUGUACAGACUUUAUGGAAAUGUGACAUUCGAACAGAAUCACUCAAAGGCAUUUCAGCUAUAAUUAACAUUUUUCACUUCUUGCAAAGAAAAUAAAAAUAGUUUCUAAUUGAA